GACGAACGCUGGCGGCAUGCUUAACACAUGCAAGUCGAACGGGAAGGCCCUGCUUUUGUGGGCUGCUCGAGUGGCGAACGGGUGAGCUACACGUGAGUAACCUACCCCUGCCUUUGGGAUAACUUCAGGAAACUGGGUCUCAUACCGCAUAGGAGCUCCUGCUGCUUGGUGGGCGUUGGAUAGUUUCGGCGGUUGGGGAUGGACUCGCGGCUUAUCAGCUUGUUGGUGGGGUAGUGGAUUACCAAGGCUUUGCCGGGUAGCCGGCCUGCGAGGAUGACAGGCAACGUUGGGACUGAGAUACGGCCCGGACUCCAACGGGAGGCAACAGUGGUGAAUAUUGCACUGUGGGCGGAAGCCAAGUGCAGCAACGCAGCGUGCGGGAUGACGGCCUUCGGGUUGUAAACCGCUUUCGCCUGUGACGAGGCGAGAGUGACGGUAAUGGGUAAAGAAGCACCGGCUAACUACGUG
rnacentral:rRNA from 1 species